rnacentral:rRNA from 1 species
UUUUCCCUACGGGGCGCAGCAGUGGGGGAUAUUGCACAAUGGGGGGAACCCUGAUGCAGCGAUGCCGCGUGAAGGAAGAAGGCUUUCGGGUUGUAAACUUCUUUGACAGGGGAAGAGCAGAAGACGGUACCCUGAAAACAAGCCACGGCUAACUACGUGCCAGCAGCCGCGGUAAUACGUAGGUGGCAAGCGUUGUCCGGAUUUACUGGGUGUAAAGGGCGUGUAGCCGGGAAGGCAAGUCAGAUGUGAAAUCCGGAGGCUCAACCUCCGAAUUGCAUUUGAAACUGUUUUUCUUGAGUACUGGG